rnacentral:rRNA from 1 species
UACAGAGGGUGCAAGCGUUAAUCGGAAUUACUGGGCGUAAAGCGUGCGUAGGUGGUUCUUUAAGUCAGGUGUGAAAUCCCUGGGCUCAACCUGGGAACUGCAUUUGAUACUGAAGAGCUAGAGUGUGGUAGAGGAUAGUGGAAUUCCCGGUGUAGCGGUGAAAUGCGUAGAUAUCUGGAGGAACACCGGUGGCGAAGGCGGCAUCCUGGACCGGUAUUGACGCUGAGGCGCGAAAGCCAGGGGAGCAAACGGG